rnacentral:rRNA from 1 species
AUUGAACGCUGGCGGCAGGCCUAACACGUGCAAGUCGAGCGGAUGAAGGGAGCUUGCUCCUGGAUUCAGCGGCGGACGGGUGAGUAAUGCCUAGGAAUCUGCCUGGUAGUGGGGGAUAACGUCCGGAAACGGGCGCUAAUACCGCAUACGUCCUGAGGGAGAAAGUGGGGGAUCUUCGGACCUCACGCUAUCAGAUGAGCCUAGGUCGGAUUAGCUAGUUGGUGGGGUAAAGGCCUACCAAGGCGACGAUCCGUAACUGGUCUGAGAGGAUGAUCAGUCACACUGGAACUGAGACACGGUCCAGACUCCUACGAGAGGCAGCAGUGGGGAAUAUUGGACAAUGGGCGAAAGCCUGAUCCAGCCAUGCCGCGUGUGUGAAGAAGGUCUUCGGAUUGUAAAGCACUUUAAGUUGGGAGGAAGGGCAGUAAGUUAAUACCUUGCUGUUUUGACGUUACCAACAGAAUAAGCACCGGCUAACUUCGUG